CGAGCUGGACAGAUGGGAGCUUGCUCCCUGAUGUUAGCGGCGGACGGGUGAGUAACACGUGGGUAACCUGCCUGUAAGACUGGGAUAACUCCGGGAAACCGGGGCUAAUACCGGAUGGUUGUUUGAACCGCAUGGUUCAGACAUAAAAGGUGGCUUCGGCUACCACUUACAGAUGGACCCGCGGCGCAUUAGCUAGUUGGUGAGGUAACGGCUCACCAAGGCGACGAUGCGUAGCCGACCUGAGAGGGUGAUCGGCCACACUGGGACUGAGACACGGCCCAGACUCCUACGGGAGGCAGCAGUAGGGAAUCUUCCGCAAUGGACGAAAGUCUGACGGAGCAACGCCGCGUGAGUGAUGAAGGUUUUCGGAUCGUAAAGCUCUGUUGUUAGGGAAGAACAAGUGCCGUUCAAAUAGGGCGGCACCUUGACGGUACCUAACCAGAAAGCCACGGCUAACUACGUGCCAGCAGCCGCGGUAAUACGUAGGUGGCAAGCGUUGUCCGGAAUUAUUGGGCGUAAAGGGCUCGCAGGCGGUUUCUUAAGUCUGAUGUGAAAGCCCCCGGCUCAACCGGGGAGGGUCAUUGGAAACUGGGGAACUUGAGUGCAGAAGAGGAGAGUGGAAUUCCACGUGUAGCGGUGAAAUGCGUAGAGAUGUGGAGGAACACCAGUGGCGAAGGCGACUCUCUGGUCUGUAACUGACGCUGAGGAGCGAAAGCGUGGGGAGCGAACAGGAUUAGAUACCCUGGUAGUCCACGCCGUAAACGAUGAGUGCUAAGUGUUAGGGGGUUUCCGCCCCUUAGUGCUGCAGCUAACGCAUUAAGCACUCCGCCUGGGGAGUACGGUCGCAAGACUGAAACUCAAAGGAAUUGACAGGGGCCCGCACAAGC
rnacentral:rRNA from 1 species